CCUACGGGAGGCAGCAGUGAGGAAUAUUGGUCAAUGGGCGGGAGUCUGAACCAGCCAAGCCGCGUGAGGGAAGAAGGUACAGCGUAUUGUAAACCUCUUUUGUCAGGGAAUAAAGUCCGGUACUUGUACCCGGAUGAGUGUACCUUACGAACAAGCAUCGGCUAACUCCGUGCCAGCAGCCGCGGUAAUACGGAGGAUGCGAGCGUUAUCCGGAUUUAUUGGGUUUAAAGGGUGCGCAGGCGGCCUGUUAAGUCAGCGGUAAAAGCCCGGGGCUCAACCCCGGCGAGCCGUUGAAUCUGGCGGGCUGGAGUGGGGGAGAGGUAGGCGGAAUGCGCGGUGUAGCGGUGAAAUGCUUAGAUAUCGCGCAGAACCCCGAUUGCGAAGGCAGCGUACCGGAUCCAGACUGACGCUGAGGCACGAAAGCGUGGGUAUCGAACAGGAUUAGAUACCCUAGUAGUC
rnacentral:rRNA from 1 species